rnacentral:rRNA from 1 species
GACGAACGCUGGCGGCGUGCUUAACACAUGCAAGUCGAACGGAAAGGCCCUGCUUGCAGGGUGCUCGAGUGGCGAACGGGUGAGUAACACGUGGGUGAACUGCCCCUUACUUUGGGAUAAGCCUGGGAAACUGGGUCUAAUACUGGAUAGGACCAUGCUGUAGGUGGUGUGGUGGAAAGAUUAGUUUCGGUAAGGGAUGAGCUCGCGGCCUAUCAGCUUGUUGGUGGGGUAAUGGCCUACCAAGGCGUCGACGGGUAGCCGGCCUGAGAGGGUGGACGGCCACAUUGGGACUGAGAUGCGGCCCAGACUCCUACGGGAGGCAGCAGUGGGGAAUAUUGCACAAUGGGCGCAAGCCUGAUGCAGCGACGCCGCGUGGGGGAUGACGGCCUUCGGGUUGUAAACUCCUUUCAGCCAUGACGAAGCCCUUGUGGUGACGGUAGUGGUAGAAGAAGCACCGGCUAACUACGUG